CAGCUGUCGAAUGUAAUGAAUGCUGGGAAGUCAAGCUGGGAGAAGCGGCUGAGAAAACUAUUUUAGAAAGUAAUGAGAGGCUCUUCUGCAUGGCAAGAGAGUUGAUAGAAGCCCGACGGCUAUUUGGGAGGAGAGCCAUCUAAGCAGUGCUGUCAGUCAGUGAGUCUGAAAAGUACCUUUGGAUCACACUUGACUUUUAUGGAAGACUCCAGAAUAUCAGCAGAGAAGUGGGGAAGUGUCUGGUACCUCCAGAAGAGAGAGGCUCCCUGGCUGUUGUUGUGUAGCACGUCCGACAGGUAGGACCAUGUCUGGUGGGCUUACCUGUAUCCUAGGGACAGGCAGGACCAGGAGGGCACGGCCAGCCUUGUCUGCAGAUUGAGACCCUGCCUCUAAAAGAAGACACGUGGGAGGAACUCACUUAAACUAAAGGAAGAUAAGAGUGGUGAAAAUGAAAGUGGAAUUCCUGUUUGCAGAUCCCAGUGAGGUCAAAGGACUGGUGGAAUAUCUAUACCAGAAGGAAUACAUGGUCAGGAUACAGGAGUCCGUUUUGAGAUUUGGAUGGUGUCAAGAAAUUGUCGCAGGCAAGAGUGAUGGCUCAGUGGUCAAGAAUGCCUACAAAAGGAGACAGUUGCUUCAAGUUGUCCUCUGGCCUUCAUAUAUGUGCUGUGGCAUGCAUGAUUGCCUAUCACUGCCAUGACAAGAGACACCAUCCCUCAGAAGAUAGAUGUCAGGAAGAGCAUGUGGUGAGUGGCAUCGGGAUGUGCAUGUGGGGACACUUACCCUGAUGGUCUCAGAGACAAUAACUGUUGGGUGAGCAAAGGACAUGCUUACGGGGAGUUCUCUUUUCUGUUGAAACUCGGUUCCAAAACUGGGUGUGCAGCUGUAAUCCCAGCACUUGGGACAUGGAGACAGGAAAAUCAAAAGUUCAAGGUUCUUCUCGGGCACAAAGUAAGUUCUGGACAAGUAUGGGCUACAUAAUACCAUCUUUUAAGGGAGGAAAGGAGGGAUGAAGGGGGAAGGGAGAGGAGGAGGGAGAAGGGGAGGGAGGGAAGGAAGGAAGGAAGGAAGGAAGGCAGGCAGGAAGGAAGACACUGAGUUCUUAGACUGGGGAUGGGAAUAAAAUUCCAGGGAGAAGUUUUUGUAUAUCUCUCUAUUGUUUCCUCCACUUGGGCAGGGGCUUAACCAGAAACAUAUACUGUAUUUUUGAAGAAUAUAUAUACAUUAGUAUAUAUGUAUAUGUCAAAUAGCACUAGCCAUUUAUUUCUAUUUGUUUUUGUUUUAUGACAGGGUCUCCUGUGCCUCAGACUGGCCUUGAAGUUUCUAUACAGCAGAGGGGAUAACGUUGAAUUUCUGAUCCCAUGUCUUCACCUCCUGAGUGACAGGAUUACAGGUGUGCCUCACUGCAUGUGAUUUCUGGGGCACUGGGGAUGGGAAACGGGACUUCAUGCAAACCAACUGAGUUACCUCCCAAGGCAAUGUUGAUAGUCAUGAGACCAGAAAAUAUACAGAUGAGGAAACUGGUAUGUUAAGGAAGCCGUGAGGCUAUUUGACAUAUAUUUCCCCUAAAAUAUUUUUGAAAACAAGAAAAUAUGAAAAUUCACCCAAAAGUUUAACAUUGAAGAUAUUAUCCAGAAAGUCAAAAGUAACCAAGAAAAGGAAGCAAUGGACCACCAAGAAGGCUCAGUGGGUACAGGCGCUUGCUACGAAGCCUGACCCAUAGACUCAUAUUCAAAGGCAGGAGGAGGUAUUCACAGGUUAGCAUGGCACAGGAGACAAAGAGCUAAAAUAUAAAAUGAUAGGAAAGUAGCUUAAGAAAAUUGGGCAUCACCCUUCCUGCCUCCUUAGGAUACCUGUAAGAAGGAGGCAAGCACGUUUGUGUAAGUGGCUUUAGGACGGGAGGCAGCCAUGUUGUUGUCUGGUGGGACAUACACAGACCCACCGUUGGCGAACCAUGUUAAGAUGUUCAUUCUUUUGGAUAAUGAGCAUUAAUUACUCUUGACCACGUGCACUGAUUCGUUUCUGUCAGCACAAGCUAGAGCUGCCUGGUAAGGUGUAACCUCCCCUAAGGAACUGCCUGUCUGUCUACAUUGGCUUGUGGGCCUGUUUGUGUCGUUUUUUCUCUUGGUUAAUGAUUGACAUGGGAGGAGCCCUGCCCAUCUGGACAGAACUGCACCUGGUCGAAUAACAAAGCUCAAGGAUGCUGAGUGAGCCUUGGAGAGGAACCAGUAAGCAGCUCUUGCACUGUGGUCUCUGCUUCAGUCUAGGCCUCCAGGCUUCUCCCUUCAUUUCCCCGAGUGAGGGAUCUAACACAAAAGUUUGAUAUACUUUUCCUCCUCCGUGUCGCUUUUGGUCAGUGUUUUGUUACAGCAACAAUGAAGCUAACCAGAAUGCCACUAAAUGAGUUACUACACAUCACUAAAAUCUUGGAUUGUUUUAUGCUUUUUAAAAAAAUGAUUAUUCAGAGGCCCAUUUGUGGAGAUCAGAGGAUAACUUGAGUUCGUUCUCUACCACCAUGUGCAUUCUGGGGAUGAAAGUCAGGCGAUCAGGCUUGGUGGCAACUGCCUGUAGCCUCUGAAUCUCUUCACAGGGUACCACCCCACCACUGCCACUCUUUAUUGAGGCUUUUAUCUAGCAUACAAUAGCAUUCAUUAUGGUAUUUUGUAGACAGAAGUUUGUCCUGCCUGGUCCCACAGCCAUUUAGUCCCAGAUAAAUGCACAGAGGCUUAGGACAUCCCCCAUCAUCAUUUAAUGACAUCUCAUUAUACCUUGCUCUUAUUCGCUUUGCUCCCCAUCCUCCCACACACCGGCCCUCUCUCCACAGAGACCCACUUCUGCUCCCCACCCCCGCCCCCCUUAUCGCCCCAAUACACACUCCAACACUGAAAUCUAGAUUUCACUCAUGAGAAUAAAUAUGAACUGGAUGUCGUGAUGCACGCUUUUAAUCCCAGCUAGGAAGGCAGAGGCAGGUAGAUCUUUGAGAUUGAGGCCAUCCUGUCUACAUGUUGAGUUCCAGGUCAGCCAGGGCUGCAUAGUAAGUAAGACCCUGUCUCAAAAAAAUAAAAUAUUAAAAUGAGAGUAAAUGUAUUUUGUGUUUCUCCUUCAUUGUCUUUGUCAUCAUCGGCCAUCUAAUGUCUUGUUAGGAAUGUAUGAAUUUAGGUUCUGCAUAUGAGAGAAAAUAUAGUUGUUAUUCUGAGUCUAACUUAAUGAAGAUUACUAAUAAUUGUAUGCACAAUGGUAGUUAAUAUUGUAUUAGGAUUUUACUGGGACAACUAUUCUUCACAAAAUCCUGUUUUUUGUAUGAAGAUUGUUUAAUUUUAUAAGAUUGCCCAGAAGCACAACUGCAGGUCCCAUCCCACAUAUAGUUUACCCAGGAGCCAGCAGGAGCUGCCCUGUCCCUGACUGUCAGGGAUGGGCAUCAUUUAGAAGAGCAGCCCUGCUGGGAGGUGUCCAUGGCUUCGUUUACAAUCUUUGCUUUGUUGCAAAUAUGAUUAUCUUACCUAGAGAGCCACUCAGGUUGCUGUAUAUUAUUUUAAUUAGUGUUUGGUGACAUAUAUGUACACAUUUUAUACUUUAUUUUUCUGGUUUUCUAUAAUGAGAUUUUAAGAUAAAAAGAAAGAAUUACAACAUUGCAAAAACAAAAAACUCAAGUAUGUGUAGACUAACCUAUACUUUGCUUAUAACACUUACUGAUUAUAAUAGCAGAUUAAAACGGG
ensembl:lincRNA